GACGAACGCUGGCGGCGUGCUUAACACAUGCAAGUCGAACGGAAAGGCCCUGCUUUUGCGGGGUUCUCGAGUGGCGAACGGGUGUGUAACACGGGAGUAACCUGCCCUUGACUUUGUGAUAUCUUCAGGAAACUGGGGCUAAUACCGGAGAGGAGCUCCUGCUGCAUGGUGGUGGUUGGAAAGUUUCGGCGGUUGUGGAUGGACUGUCGGCUUACCAGCUUGUUGGUGGGGUAGUUGCUUACCCAGGCUUUGGAGGAUAGCCGGCCUGAGAGGGGGAACGGGGACCAGGGGACUAAGGGAGGGACCAGUCGGGUACGGGAGGCAGCGGGGGGGAACAUGACACAAUGGGGGCACGCGUGAGGCAGAGGCGUCGGGAGCGUGAAGACGGCCUUCGGGGUGUAAACCGCUUUCGCCUGUGACGUGGCGUGAGUGACGGUAAUGGGUAAAGAAGCACCGGCUAACUACGUG
rnacentral:rRNA from 1 species